UACGUAGGGCGCAAGCGUUGUCCGGAAUUAUUGGGCGUAAAGAGCUCGUAGGCGGCUUGUCGCGUCGGCUGUGAAAACCUGGGGCUCAACCCCGGGCCUGCAGCCGAUACGGGCAAGCUAGAAUUCGGUAGGGGAGACUGGAAUUCCUGGUGUAGCGGUGAAAUGCGCAGAUAUCAGGAGGAACACCGGUGGCGAAGGCGGGUCUCUGGGCCGGUACUGACGCUAAGGAGCGAAAGCGUGGGGAGCGAACAGG
rnacentral:rRNA from 1 species